rnacentral:lncRNA from 1 species
GUGAUGAUCAUAGGAUUCAAACCCUUUUGGUAUCAAAUGUAAUGACCUGCGAUGUGAUCUGUGAUGUCAUGUAAAUUUUCAGAUGCUUGCAUGCAUCUUAUUUGAUGUUUUGAGAGGCCUGCGUGCCUCCUAAAAGGAGAUGUAAUUUAUUUUUAUUUUUAUUUUACAUCUGGUUGUAUUUCUGUGAUGUGAUGUACGUCAACGAUCAAGACGAAGAUGAUGCAUGAGAUGAGCAGGGGUCUAAGCGGUUGAUGGCGAUUGGAUCAAGAGUUGGUCAAGGAUCGAAUCAAGAAGGCUUGGAACCAAUUCAAGAGUUGAAGACCAGUUGAUCGAUUGACGUGCAUGUACUUGUAAUACGACCUAACUAGAAUCCAUGAUCAACACCUAUUUAAAGUUUAGCUUUAAUUAUUGCUGCGAUUAUAACUGCCUGCAAUGUGUCGUUUGCAUGUGAUGUGAAUGCGAGUCGGGUAGAUAGGUUUACAUGUGAUGUAGCAAAUCCAAUUGAGACCUAAAUUAAAACCUCCUCAAUCAAGUC